GUGGCUGUGGUGAAGUGGUUAACACGCCGGAUUGUGGCUCCGGUAUUCGAGGGUUCGAUCCCCUCCAGUCACCCCA
rnacentral:tRNA from 3 species